GGUUCGGUAGCUCAGUUGGUUAGAGCGCCGCCCUGUCACGGCGGAGGUCGCGGGUUCGAGCCCCGUCCGGACCGCCA
rnacentral:tRNA from 2 species